rnacentral:rRNA from 1 species
AUACGUAGGGUGCGAGCGUUGUCCGGAAUUACUGGGCGUAAAGAGCUCGUAGGUGGUUUGUCGCGUCGUCUGUGAAAUUCCGGGGCUUAACUCCGGGCGUGCAGGCGAUACGGGCAUAACUUGAGUACUGUAGGGGAGACUGGAAUUCCUGGUGUAGCGGUGAAAUGCGCAGAUAUCAGGAGGAACACCGGUGGCGAAGGCGGGUAUAUGGGCAGUAACUGGAGCUGAGGAGCGAAAGCAGGGGGAGCGAACAGUAUUAGAUACCCGGGUAGUCCAUGCUGUAAACGGUGGGCGCUAGGUGUAGGGGUCUUCCACGACUUCUGUGCCGUAGCUAACGCAUUAAGCGCCCCGCCUGGGGAGUACGGCCGCAAGGCUAAAACUCAAAGGAAUUGACGGGG